AACGAACGCUGGCGGCAUGCCUAACACAUGCAAGUCGAACGAGACCUUCGGGUCUAGUGGCGCACGGGUGCGUAACGCGUGGGAACCUGCCCUUAGGUUCGGAAUAACUCCCCGAAAGGGGUGCUAAUACCGGAUAAUGUCUUCGGACCAAAGAUUUAUCGUCUUUGGAUGGGCCCGCGUUGGAUUAGCUAGUUGGUAGGGUAAAAGCCUACCAAGGCGACGAUCCAUAGCUGGUCUGAGAGGAUGAUCAGCCACACUGGGACUGAGACACGGCCCAGACUCCUACGGGAGGCAGCAGUGGGGAAUAUUGGACAAUGGGCGAAAGCCUGAUCCAGCAAUGCCGCGUGAGUGAUGAAGGCCUUAGGGUUGUAAAGCUCUUUUACCCGGGAUGAUAAUGACGGUACCGGGAGAAUAAGCUCCGGCUAACUCCGUG
rnacentral:rRNA from 1 species